UACGUAGGGGGCAAGCGUUGUCCGGAAUCAUUGGGCGUAAAGAGCGUGUAAGGCGGCUUGGCAAGUCUGGUGUGAAAUCUUGACGGCUCAACCGCCAAGCGGUCACUGGAAACUGCCUCGUCAUAGAGUCCGGAAAGCAGGAGAGGUGGAAUUCCUUGGUGUAGGCGGUGAAAAUGCGCAGAUAUCAGGAAGAACACCAAUGGCGAAGGCAGCUCUCUGGGACGGUAAGCUGAACGCUGAGACGCGGAAAAG
rnacentral:rRNA from 1 species